GCUGAAUGGCUGCAGUCAAUGAUGACAGUCUGAGGAUGAUUGUCCUGUUCUAUCUCACCUGCAUGGGAGAGGGCAGGGUCCCCAGCAAGGCACCCUCUCACUGGGCUGGCAUGAAUAUAGUACUAGGGCAAAGGAAAGCACAUAGAGGCCUGCACCUUCAGCUAGUCUUGAGGUCACCUACGGCUCAGGCAGCCUGGCAGGAGUCUCCUUUUUGGUUGGUCAUACAUACAUGUAGUUUAAACAGGCAGAUUGUUCAGUGAGGCUCCUUUCAAAAAGUGCCACCAGGGCUGUGGUUGUGGCUCAGUUGUAGAGCACUUGCCUAGUAUGUGGGAGGUACUGGGUUUGAUUCUCAGCACUGUGUCCAUUUACAAGUAAAAAAAAAUAAAAAUAAAAGUGCCAUCUGUCCCUCACUAUUUCCCUACCCAGAGGCAACCAAUUUCAGUUCCUGUCAAUGAGCUCUUUUAGUACUUCCCUCUGGGUUUCUCAGUCAGGACACUUGGCCUUCUCCCAACACAUGUUCCUUUUCCUUCAUUACAAGAACAUCAGCAAUAGCUUCUUCUCUGAAAUGAGUUUUGAAAUCAGCUUUACUUGCCUAGCAUGCACAAGGCCCUGGGUUUAAUCCCCAGCACUG
rnacentral:lncRNA from 1 species